UUCCUGCGCUCCGCUCCCGCUGCAGGUGCCUGGGCCCGCGAGGACAGGCCUCGUCGCCACCCCCACCCGGCCUGCCCAGUGCCUGGCAUGAAACCAGUGUUUCAAAAAGCGGUGCCGGGCUGAAGCGCCGCACAGGAACUUGCUUUGCUCACCCGGGCGGCCUCGCUGGCCUCUGGCCGGCCUGUACCGCGCAUUGCAGAGCUAGGAGACGUGACAGCAGCCCCCUUUAAGGACCCAAGAGAUUCCCCACGGACCUCUUCCCCUUCCUUCCGUUUGAGAGGGAGCGGUGUCACUUGGUGAGAGGGAGGAGACGGGAGGAAAAGGAGAAUCCUUGGCUGGGUGUGGUCAGGCUUCAAGGUACCUGAAAAGUAGCCCCCACUAUCUUGAACUCAUUGUCAAGUCCUCCUCAUCCUCCAAAG
rnacentral:sRNA from 1 species